rnacentral:rRNA from 1 species
GCGGGGCGCCUUUUAAGUUUUUGGUUCUGCUCAGGACGAACGCUGGCGGCGUGCCUAAUACAUGCAAGUCGAGCGGACAGAUGGGAGCUUGCUCCCUGAUGUUAGCGGCGGACGGGUGAGUAACACGUGGGUAACCUGCCUGUAAGACUGGGAUAACUCCGGGAAACCGGGGCUAAUACCGGAUGGUUGUUUGAACCGCAUGGUUCAAACAUAAAAGGUGGCUUCGGCUACCACUUACAGAUGGACCCGCGGCGCAUUAGCUAGUUGGUGAGGUAACGGCUCACCAAGGCGACGAUGCGUAGCCGACCUGAGAGGGUGAUCGGCCACACUGGGACUGAGACACGGCCCAGACUCCUACGGGAGGCAGCAGUAGGGAAUCUUCCGCAAUGGACGAAAGUCUGACGGAGCAACGCCGCGUGAGUGAUGAAGGUUUUCGGAUCGUAAAGCUCUGUUGUUAGGGAAGAACAAGUACCGUUCGAAUAGGGCGGUACCUUGACGGUACCUAACCAGAAAGCCACGGCUAACUACGUGCCAGCAGCCGCGGUAAUACGUAGGUGGCAAGCGUUGUCCGGAAUUAUUGGGCGUAAAGGGCUCGCAGGCGGUUUCUUAAGUCUGAUGUGAAAGCCCCCGGCUCAACCGGGGAGGGUCAUUGGAAACUGGGGAACUUGAGUGCAGAAGAGGAGAGUGGAAUUCCACGUGUAGCGGUGAAAUGCGUAGAGAUGUGGAGGAACACCAGUGGCGAAGGCGACUCUCUGGUCUGUAACUGACGCUGAGGAGCGAAAGCGUGGGGAGCGAACAGGAUUAGAUACCCUGGUAGUCCACGCCGUAAACGAUGAGUGCUAAGUGUUAGGGGGUUUCCGCCCCUUAGUGCUGCAGCUAACGCAUUAAGCACUCCGCCUGGGGAGUACGGUCGCAAGACUGAAACUCAAAGGAAUUGACGGGGGCCCGCACAAGCGGUGGAGCAUGUGGUUUAAUUCGAAGCAACGCGAAGAACCUUACCAGGUCUUGACAUCCUCUGACAAUCCUAGAGAUAGGACGUCCCCUUCGGGGGCAGAGUGACAGGUGGUGCAUGGUUGUCGUCAGCUCGUGUCGUGAGAUGUUGGGUUAAGUCCCGCAACGAGCGCAACCCUUGAUCUUAGUUGCCAGCAUUCAGUUGGGCACUCUAAGGUGACUGCCGGUGACAAACCGGAGGAAGGUGGGGAUGACGUCAAAUCAUCAUGCCCCUUAUGACCUGGGCUACACACGUGCUACAAUGGACAGAACAAAGGGCAGCGAAACCGCGAGGUUAAGCCAAUCCCACAAAUCUGUUCUCAGUUCGGAUCGCAGUCUGCAACUCGACUGCGUGAAGCUGGAAUCGCUAGUAAUCGCGGAUCAGCAUGCCGCGGGUGAAUACGUUCCCGGGGCCUUGUACACACCGCCCCGUCACACCACGAAGAGUUUGUAACACCCGGAAGUCGGUGAGGUAACCUUUUAGGAGCCAGCCGCCGAAGGUGGGACAGAUGAUUGGGGUGAAUCUACGAGGGGAAACCCCCAAAAAAAAAGGUGCGUU